GAUGAACGCUGGCGGCGUGCCUAAUACAUGCAAGUCGAGCGAACAGACGAGGAGCUUGCUCCUCUGACGUUAGCGGCGGACGGGUGAGUAACACGUGGAUAACCUACCUAUAAGACUGGGAUAACUUCGGGAAACCGGAGCUAAUACCGGAUAAUAUAUUGAACCGCAUGGUUCAAUAGUGAAAGACGGUUUUGCUGUCACUUAUAGAUGGAUCCCCGCCGCAUGAGCUAGUUGGUACGGUAACGGCUUAUCAAGGCUACGAUGCGUAGCCGACGUGAGAGGGUGAUCGGCCACACUGGAGCUGAGACAGGGACAAGACGCCUACGGGAGGGAGCAGAAGGGAAUCUGCCGCAGUAGGCGAGAGCUUGGCGGAGCAGCGCCGCGUGAGAGAUGAAGGUCUUCGGAUCGGAAAACUGUGUUAUUAGGGAAGAACAAAUGUGUAAGUAACUAUGCACGUCUUGACGGUACCUAAUCAGAAAGCCACGGCUAACUACGUG
rnacentral:rRNA from 1 species